rnacentral:lncRNA from 1 species
UUGAGACAACAGCUCCCCUGGGGGGACUCUGGCUGCCAAGAAGGUUAGAAGAGAGCAGCAUUUCUCUUGGUCAGCUCAAGGUCACUCACUAACGUCAGAGGUGGCAGCUCCCUGGGAUCUGAGACCUGAACAAUGACAAUUUUGCGUCCCAGUAGCUGUCUGUGUCCUUAAUCUGACGGUUAAAGACGUGAUGAAGUCGUACCCCAGACAUCCUGGAACAAAUGACAGUAUUCUAUGACUCUGAGGCAAGUGGUAAGGAUGGUGGAACCCCUUUGUCCUGCUUCUUUUUGGUUCAGAGUUUGGCAAACAUCCUUUAGAAAGAGACUAUAUUCCCUGUAGGCCAGCCCCUGGUCAUCUCAGGGUAGAUAUCAGGAGGACAGAGAAAUAAGUCGAGGAUUCAGGGAGUUGACGGAAGGGUAACAGGCAUAUUGACCUAAGUGGCACCAUUUCUUCCUUCCUUCCUUCCUUCCUUCCUUCCUUCCUUCCUUCCUUUCCUUUCUUUCCUUCCUUUCCUUCCUUUCCUUCCUUUCCUUCUUUCCUUCCUUUCUUCUUUCCUUACUUUUUU